rnacentral:rRNA from 1 species
UACGUAGGGUGCGAGCGUUGUCCGGAAUUAUUGGGCGUAAAGGGCUCGUAGGCGGUCUGUUGCGUCGGGAGUGAAAACUCAGGGCUUAACCCUGAGCCUGCUUCCGAUACGGGCAGACUAGAGGUAUGCAGGGGAGAACGGAAUUCCUGGUGUAGCGGUGAAAUGCGCAGAUAUCAGGAGGAACACCGGUGGCGAAGGCGGGUCUCUGGGACGGUACUGACGCUGAGACGCGAAAGCGUGGGGAGCGAACAGG